rnacentral:rRNA from 1 species
UACGUAGGGGGCUAGCGUUGUCCGGAAUCAUUGGGCGUAAAGAGCGUGUAGGCGGUCCGGUACGUCCGUUGUGAAAGUCAGGGGCUCAACCCUUGAAUGCCGGCGGAUACUGUCGGGCUAGAGUCCGGAAGAGGCAAGUGGAAUUCCCGGUGUAGCGGUGAAAUGCGUAGAGAUCGGGAGGAACACCAGCGGCGAAGGCGGCCCCCUGGGCCGCUCCUGACGCUGAGACGCGAAGGCCAGGGUAGCGAACGGG